rnacentral:snoRNA from 1 species
AACACCCAGCUCAGGGAUCAUUUCUAUAGUUUGUUACUAGAGAAAUUUCUCUGACUGUGUAGAGCACCCGAAACCACGAGGACGAGACGUAGUGUUCCCUCCUGAGAGUGAAGCCGGCUCUAGGUGCUGCUUUUCUGUGGCUGUCUCUUGCCAUUGAUGAUCACUCUUCUCUUCCUUAUGGAAGGGUGAGAGGGAGGGUCAACAUAG